GGUUGUAGCUCAAUGGUCAGUGCACCCGCUGUUGAGCGAGAGGUCUCGGGUUCGACCCCCCAAACCC
rnacentral:tRNA from 1 species